GACGUAGGAGGCGAGCGUUUGUCCGGAUUCAUUGGGCGUAAAGAGCGCGCAGGCGGCUUGGUAAGUCGGAUGUGAAAUCCCGAGGCUCAACCUCGGGUCUGCACCCGAUACUGCCCGGCUAGAGGUAGGUAGGGGAGAUCGGAAUUCCUGGUGUAGCGGUGAAAUGCGCAGAUAUCAGGAGGAACACCGGUGGCGAAGGCGGGACUCUGGGCCGACACUGACGCUGAUGCGCGAAAGCCAGGGGAGCGAACGGG
rnacentral:rRNA from 1 species